AUUGCCCCAGUAACGGCGAGUGAAGCGGCAACAGCUCAAAUUUGAAAUCUGGCCCUCGGGUCCGAGUUGUAAUUUGUAGAGGAUGCUUUUGGUGCGGUGCCUUCCGAGUUCCCUGGAACGGGACGCCAUAGAGGGUGAGAGCCCCGUCUGGUUGGACACCAAGCCUCUGUAAAGCUCCUUCGACGAGUCGAGUAGUUUGGGAAUGCUGCUCUAAAUGGGAGGUAUAUGUCUUCUAAAGCUAAAUACCGGCCAGAGACCGAUAGCGCACAAGUAGAGUGAUCGAAAGAUGAAAAGCACUUUGAAAAGAGGGUUAAAUAGUACGUGAAAUUGUUGAAAGGGAAGCGCUUGUGACCAGACUUGAGCCCGGUUAAUCAUCCAGCCUUCUGGCUGGUGCACUUGGCCGGCUCAGGCCAGCAACAGUUCGGCGCGGGGGAUAAAGGCUUCGGGAAUGUGGCUCCUCCGGGAGUGUUAUAGCCCGCUGCGCAAUACCCUGCGCUGGACUGAGGUUCGCGCAUCUGCAAGGAUGCUGGCGUAAUGGUCAUCAGCGACCCGUCUUGAAACACGGACCAAGGAGUCGUCUUCGUAUGCGAGUGUUCGGGUGUCAAACCCCUACGCGUAAUGAAAGUGAACGCAGGUGAGAGCUUCGGCGCAUCAUCGACCGAUCCUGAUGUUCUCGGACGGAUUUGAGUAAGAGCAUACGGGGCCGGACCCGAAAGAAGGUGAACUAUGCCUGUAUAGGGUGAAGCCAGAGGUUGCUCUGGUGGAGGCUCGCAGCGGUUCUGACGUGCAAAUCGAUCGUCAAAUAUGGGCAUGGGGGCGAAAGACUAAU
rnacentral:rRNA from 1 species